rnacentral:lncRNA from 1 species
UUUUAUUCUCUUUGCCAGGUGUUUUACUUUGUUGGCGACCUCCCAUAUUGAACAACCCAUUAUGGAUUCAGGUCCAUCAGCAGAGCACACGAAGCAAAAAGAAUCCUGCCCUCAUCAGAAAGGAGAUGGUCACUGCCACAGUGAGGGCCACAUGCAUGGCCAUGCGAAAGGAGAAGGUCAUAGCCAUCAUCAUAGCCAUGCACAGGGUCAUGAGAAGGGAGAAGGUCACUGCCACCCCCAUGGCCCUACGCAGAGUGACAAGAAAGGCCCAGGCCAUUCCCAUAAGUAAUGUUAUGGCCAUUGGCAGGGGAGAAGUUGUGCAAGGAGCAGCUGCCCUGCGUCAUCUGUGAGCUCCCUGGAAGACGUCCUCCCUGUGGCCAAGGGAACAUGCAUGGCUACCAUACAACCCAGCACAAUUUUACAGCUGCAAUAAAAAACGUUAGCCAGGCCCUGUGGGGAAGGGA